AAGUUAACAGGAAUGUCUUUCCGAGUUCCAACUGUGGAUGUCUCUGUGGUUGAUCUCACAGUGAGGUUGGAGAAAGAAGCUACCUAUGAUGAAAUCAAGGCUGCUAUCAAGUAAGACGGUGUACUUUACUCCUUCCCUGUGCCCUGUAAAAAAAUGCUAAAAGCUUGUGUGCUUCAUUCAAUUCUGGCAAGUAUAUACUACAUGUCUUUCUCCAUUCACGCAAAAAGAUCAAUAGUGCCGGGUGAAAUAGUAGAGAUGGCCUAAUGGCCUCUAUUCAUCUCGUCUUAAUAGCUGCCGGCUAUUUUAUAUUAAUUUGCUCUUUUUUUUUUUGCUAUUGCAUUUCAUUAGGGAGGAGUCUGAAGGAAAAUUAAAGGGAAUUGUAGGUUACACUGAAGAUGACGUGGUAUCUACAGACUUUAUUGGGGACAACAGGUGAGGAUGAAUUGUUGAAGUUUUGUUCCAUAUUAUGUGCCUGAAUGAGGAUGAUGGAUGGAUUUUCCUCACUCAAAAUUUUUAAGUGUCAUGCUUCUGCGUAAUGCAUUUUUUUCGUGACCUCAGCUCAAGUGUUUCUCUUGUGAAUUCCCUUUGUAUUGACCCAGCGUGAACAGUACUAGAGAGCUGAAGCGUUAAUUUGACUGAUUUGUAAUUCAAAUGAAAAUAAUUUGCAGAUCAAGCAUCUUUGACGCCAAGGCUGGAAUUGCUUUGAGCAAGACCUUUGUGAAGCUUGUUUCUUGGUAUGACAACGAAGUGGGAUACAGGUAAAUCUUAAGAACUUUACAUGCCUUUAAAUUUAGAGCUGCUGUAAGCCUGUGCUAUUACACGGGAUCUUAUUCUGGUAAAGGGUCAAUAAUAUGCGUAUCUUCCCAUCUUUUAGCAUUCUUCUUCACAAGAACUGUGUUGGCAUUUAAUGGUUUAUGGUCCGAUGCUAAUGUUUUUCCUUGCUGGGAUUGCAGCACCCGGGUGGUGGACUUGAUUAAGCACAUGGCAUCAGUCCAGUAAAGUGGCAGUUCCGAGCACGAUGUUGCCUUAGUUGACGCUUGCUAGGCAUAUUUAGAAGUGCAAAAAUGCAGUUUAGAAUAAAGCAAAACGAGAGGCUGUUUCACGGGUCUUGAGUGUGGC
rnacentral:lncRNA from 1 species